UUGUUUGGAGAGUUUGAUCCUGGCUCAGGACGAACGCUGGCGGCGUGCUUAACACAUGCAAGUCGAGCGGAAAGGCCCUUCGGGGUACUCGAGCGGCGAACGGGU
rnacentral:rRNA from 1 species